CAGCUAGGUCUAUUGAGGGCCAACAGAAAUCGUAGCCAGGUCUAUUGAGGGACAACAGGUCUAUCAUAGCCAGGUCUAUUGAGGGCCAACAGAAAUCAUAGCCAGGUCUAUCAUAGCCAGGUCUAUUAAGAGCCAACAGGUCUAUGAUAGUCAGGUCUAUUGACAGCCAACAGAAAUCAUAGCCAGAUCUAUUGAGGGCCAACAGAAAUCGUAGCUAGGUCUAUUGAAGUCCAACAGGUCUAUCAUAGCCAGCGCCUUAUCUGUUCCUGAUAUUGAUUUGACAUAAACAAGACUUAUCUGGGUGCAGAGUUCACUAUUUGAUUCUUUACCGCCUGAUAACAACAUGUCACCCCGAGGAUCUGAGACGAGGCACCACAGGUCCAGCGAUGGCCAUGAAGUCCCCAAGGACUGCACCGUUAAGUCCAUGGCACAUGGAGGAGAGGAGAACCAAGAGGACCCCUCGCCAAGCUGGUGCCAUUCUGGCUGAUGUGUAUCCCCAAACGGAGCGGUCAAGUCAUUUAUACAUAGAUAAAAGGCCAUAAAAUGGUUGUUUGACAUCUUAUCUUCAUGGCUGAUAAAGUCAUUGCAGAAGAGCUAUUUACUAAGAGAUAGAAACAGAGUCAGUAAUUAUAAACAUUA